UUGAAAAUGAUAACAAUGAUCAUCCAUUUGAUCCACCCCCAAAGAUAUUAUCAGUUGAGGUAUUGUGGAAUCCAUUUGAUGAUAUUGUACCAAGAGAACGUGUAAAAUCUAAGGAACUUUCAACAAGUGACACCGACAAUAAAGAUACGAAGAAAAAAGCUGUUAAAAAGUUGAAUUUACUUUCAUUUGGAAAAGAGGCUGAAGAAGAGGAGAAGGAAUUAGUAGCUGUAAAGAAAAAAAUCAAGAGCAGU